UGGGAGGAGGCGGAGGUCGGUGUUGAAGGUGUGGGCUGUGGACUUAUCAUUUUUCCAGCGGGUCAAGGUGCGGGAAGAAUCACUCAAUCAGCGAGGCGAGAAAGUUGACAGUGCCAGCGAACUGUUGCUCACCUGAACAUCCAGCAUUAUCAAUCAUUUGUGGUCUCCGCCAGCCCCUGAGGGAAACGUCUGACUCUGAGCAUGUAGUACUCGGUGGGUUCGCAGACCCUUUUUCUCAGACAGCCGCCGCCUGCUGCAACCAAACCGGCGGUAUGAGAGUGUGUGACCGGACACCAGAUGCCCCCCCCCCCCCCGCACCUCUGCCACCGCCACUCAACCCCCUGACCGCCCAAGCCAGCCAC